rnacentral:rRNA from 1 species
CUUAGAUACCCUGGUAGUCCACCCCGUAAACGUUGGGAACUAGUUGUGGGGACCAUUCCACGGUUUCCGUGACGCAGCUAACGCAUUAAGUUCCCCGCCUGGGGAGUACGGCCGCAAGGCUAAAACUCAAAGGAAUUGACGGGGACCCGCACAAGCGGCGGAGCAUGCGGAUUAAUUCGAUGCAACGCGAAGAACCUUACCAAGGCUUGACAUACACCAGAACACCGUAGAAAUACGGGACUCUUUGGACACUGGUGAACAGGUGGUGCAUGGUUGUCGUCAGCUCGUGUCGUGAGAUGUUGGGUUAAGUCCCGCAACGAGCGCAACCCUCGUUCUAUGUUGCCAGCACGUAAUGGUGGGAACUCAUGGGAUACUGCCGGGGUCAACUCGGAGGAAGGUGGGGAUGACGUCAAAUCAUCAUGCCCCUUAUGUCUUGGGCUUCACGCAUGCUACAAUGGCCGGUACAAAGGGCUGCAAUACCGUAAGGUGGAGCGAAUCCCAAAAAGCCGGUCCCAGUUCGGAUUGAGGUCUGCAACUCGACCUCAUGAAGUCGGAGUCGCUAGUAAUCGCAGAUCAGCAACGCUGCGGUGAAUACGUUCCCGGGUCUUGUACACACCGCCCGUCAAGUCAUGAAAGUCGGU